rnacentral:rRNA from 1 species
CCUACGGGUGACAGCAGUGGGGAAUAUUGGGCAAUGGGCGCAAGCCUGACCCAGCAACGCCGCGUGAAGGUAGAUGGCUUACGGGCUGUAAACUUCUUUUCUCCGGGACGAAGCAAGUUACGGUAUCUGCGGAAUAAGCUACGGUUAACUACGUGCUAGCAGCCGCGGGAAUACGGAGGUGGCGAGCGUUAUCCGGAUUUACUGGGUGUAAAGGGAGUGUAGGCGGGACGGCAAGUCAGAUGUGAAAACCACGGGCUCAACCUGUGAACUGCAAUUGAAACUGUAGGUCUUGAGUACUGGAGAGGCAGACGGAAUUCGUGGUGUAGCGGUGAAAUGCGUAGAUAUUAGGAGGAACACCAAUGGCGAAGGCAGUCUACUAAACAGCAACUGACGCUGAGGCGCGAAAGCGUGGGGAGCAAACAGGAUUAGAUACCCCAGUAGUC